rfam:Salmo salar isolate Sally breed double haploid chromosome ssa11, whole genome shotgun sequence.
UGGCUCAGUUGGUAGAGCAUGGUGCGUGCAACGCCAGGGUUGUGGGUUUGAUUCCCAC